UACGGAGGGGACUAGCGUUGUUCGGAAUUACUGGGCGUAAAGCGCACGUAGGCGGAUUUGUAAGUCAGGGGUGAAAUCCUGGAGCUCAACUCCAGAACUGCCUUUGAUACUGAGGAUCUUGAGUACGGGAGAGGUGAGUGGAACUGCGAGUGUAGAGGUGAAAUUCGUAGAUAUUCGCAAGAACACCAGUGGCGAAGGCGGACUCACUGGCCCGUAACUGACGCUGAGGCACGAAAGCGA
rnacentral:rRNA from 1 species